CGCUUAACACAAGAGCAUGUUCACGACGGGAGAGAGGAAAAUGGUUCUUAGUAUUGUAAGAAGUUGUCUCCAAGGACAAUGUUAAAAUGAGACUGACUUCUGGGAUGCUAAUGUUUUCAUCUGUAACGGGUAAACCACUAAAUAUUCGCGGCGAUUUAUUUUGGCGGAUUGUGUGCCUCAUGGGAGCCAAGAACUCAAUAAAGAAAGACCUUCGAAAAGCAUUAAACGCCAAGUUACAGGACAUCCAACAGUUAAAGGUAUGAUCUACGACCAUGCUGAUUCCAACAACAGUAGGGUAUAGCAGUGAUGAGUUAAGAAGAUCAUAACCUGUGUGCUGAUGUAAACCUUAAGUUCCCCUGCCAGAAUUUACCCUUGCCCGGCGAGGCAGAUAUCUCGCAUUGACAUCAUGCAAUGUAGACUGGCUCAUCAAACACUGCUUUUUAUGCUCAAGGAAUGCCCCAAGGGAGAUGCGCAAUGAGUAAUAAUGGUCAUGAGUCAGCCUGCCUCAAGACUGUCCCUGUAUCCAUCACGAGACGGGCGGACCUGGAGCCUCACUGUGCGAUGUUUCCUUUGUACCAAGACUCAGAGAAUCUAGGUAGCUGUCUGAACGACUCUCAGCCUGGUAACAAUUAACAUUCCCCUCGUAAACCAUUUCAUCUACUGAGGUGGAUAGCUCCAUGUAUUUGGGGAACUAUAUUUUUCGUCAAGGUCUUUCCUUUUUAUCGGCAAUAUCUAGCCUAAGUGGUCCCUCUGCAGAGUAAAAGUAACCAAGUCUUUAUAUCAGAGAGACCCAGUCUUCUUGAUGCAAAAAAUGUGCCAUUGACGAAGUGAACGUUGAUGGCGUCUCAACUAUAAACUGCAUGGAUACGCAGUCUAACGGGUCUCUUGAAAAUUACCGCUCUUGUCAUUCGACGGUGAAAUAUGUCCUUCGUAGAGCCAUCGGGCGCCGGAGCGGAAGGAGCCCUGCCCAGGGGCGACGGUCAUGAAAGACGGCCCAUUGUGAUUCACGGGAUGACCAUCUAUUCCAUCAGAAUAACAGUUGUGGAAACUGUAGCCAAUAUGGCUUUUAAAUCAAGAAGCUUAAACUAACUCACCUUCAAA